CCCCGGCGGUUUUGUUUAAGUUGGAAGUGAAAUCCCCGGGCUUAACGUGGGAACUGCAUCCAAGACUGGCAAGCUAGAGUUUCGUAGAGGGAGGUAGAAUUCCAGGCGUAGCGGUGAAAUGCGUAGAGAUCUGGAGGAAUACCGGUGGCGAAGGCGGCCUCCUGGACGAAGAAUGACGCUCAGGUGCGAAAGUGUGGGGAGCAAACAGGAUUAGAUACCCUGGUAGUCCACGCUGUAAACGAUGUCGAUUUGGAGGUUGUGCCCUUGAGGCGUGGCUUCCGAAGCUAACGCGUUAAAUCGACCGCCUGGGGAGUACGGCCGCAAGGUUAAAACUCAAAUGAAUUGACGGGGGCCCGCACAAGCGGUGGAGCAUGUGGUUUAAUUCGAUGCAACGCGAAGAACCUUACCUACUCUUGACAUCCAGCGAAUCCUGUAGAGAUACGGGAGUGCCUUCGGGAACGCUGAGACAGGUGCUGCAUGGCUGUCGUCAGCUCGUGUUGUGAAAUGUUGGGUUAAGUCCCGCAACGAGCGCAACCCUUAUCCUUUGUUGCCAGCGGUUCGGCCGGGAACUCAAAGGAGACUGCCAGUGAUAAACUGGAGGAAGGUGGGGAUGACGUCAAGUCAUCAUGGCCCUUACGAGUAGGGCUACACACGUGCUACAAUGGCGUAUACAAAGAGAAGCGACCUCGCGAGAGCAAGCGGACCUCAUAAAGUACGUCGUAGUCCGGAUUGGAGUCUGCAACUCGACUCCAUGAAGUCGGAAUCGCUAGUAAUCGUGGAUCAGAAUGCCACGGUGAAUACGUUCCCGGGCCUUGUACACACCGCCCGUCACACCAUGGGAGUGGGUUGCAAAAGAAGUAGGUAGCUUAACCUUCGGGAGGGCGCU
rnacentral:rRNA from 1 species